UACGUAGGGUGCGAGCGUUGUCCGGAAUUACUGGGCGUAAAGAGCUCGUAGGUGGUUUGUCGCGUUGUUCGUGAAAACCGGGGGCUUAACCCUCGGCGUGCGGGCGAUACGGGCAGACUUGAGUACUGCAGGGGAGACUGGAAUUCCUGGUGUAGCGGUGGAAUGCGCAGAUAUCAGGAAGAACACCCGUGGCGAAGGCGGCUCUCUGGUACGUGACUGACGCUGAGACGCGAAAGCGUGGGGAGCGAACAGG
rnacentral:rRNA from 1 species